UACGUAGGGUGCGAGCGUUGUCCGGAAUUAUUGGGCGUAAAGAGCUCGUAGGCGGUCUGUCGCGUCGGUCGUGAAAACUUGGGGCUUAACCCUGAGCUUGCGGUCGAUACGGGCAUGACUGGAGUUCGGUAGGGGAGACUGGAAUUCCUGGUGUAGCGGUGAAAUGCGCAGAUAUCAGGAGGAACACCGGUGGCGAAGGCGGUUCUCUGGGCAUUACCUGACGCUGAGGAGCGAAAGUGUGGGGAGCGAACAGG
rnacentral:rRNA from 1 species